UACGGAGGGGCAAGCGUUAUUCGGUCUAACUAGGCGUAAAGGGUCCGUGGGCGGUUAAAAAAGUUGAAAGCAAAAGCCAAAGGCUUAACCUUUGAAAGAUUUUCAAAACUAUUUAACUAGAGUAUUACAGGGGAUAGUGGAAUUUCUGUAGUAGGGAUGGAAUCCAUUGAUAACAGAAGGAACACCAGUGGCGAAGGCGA
rnacentral:rRNA from 1 species